AGUCAACAUGCCCAGGGGACGUGGAUAACCUCGGGAAACUGAGGCUAAACCGCGAUAGGCCAAGAUUUCUGGAAUGGAUCAUGGCCCAAAUCUAUAUGGCCCCUGGAUUGGACUGCGGCCGAUCAGGCUGUUGGUGAGGUAAUGGCCCACCAAACCUGUAACCGGUACGGGCUCUGAGAGGAGGAGCCCGGAGAUGGGCACUUAGACAAGGGCCCAGGCCCUAUGGGGCGCAGCAGGCGCGAAACCUCUGCAAUAAGCGAAAGCUUGACAGGGUUACUCUGAGUGAUUUCCGCUAAGGAAGUCUUUUGGCACCUCUAAAAAUGGUGCAGAAUAAGGGGUGGGCAAGUCUGGUGUCAGCCGCCGCGGUAAUACCAGCACCCCGAGUGGUUGGGACGAUUAUUGGGCCUAAAGCAUCCGUAGCCGGUCCUGCAAGUCCUCCGUUAAAUCCACCCGCUCAACGGUUGGGCCGCGGGGGAUACUACAGGGCUAGGAGGCGGGAGAGGCAAGCGGUACUCGAUGGGUAGGGGUAAAAUCCACUGAUCCAUUGAAGACCACCAGUGGCGAAGGCGGCCUGCCAGAACGCGCUCGACGGUGAGGGAUGAAAGCUGGGGGAGCAAACCGGAUUAGAUACCCGGGUAGUCCCAGCUGUAAACGAUGCAGACUCGGUGAUGGGCUGGCUUCGUGCCAACCCGGUGCCGCAGGGAAGCCGUUAAGUCUGCCGCCUGGGGAGUACGGUCGCAAGACUGAAACUUAA
rnacentral:rRNA from 1 species